UUUAGAGUUUGAUCUUGGCUCAGAACGAACGCUGGCGGUGCGCUUAAUGCAUGCAAGUUGAACGAUAAGGAUCUGAUUCGUUGGAUCUAGACAGUAGCAAACGGCUGAGUAACACGUAAGUGACCUGCCCCGAAGCGGGGGAUAAUCUCGAGAAAUCGGGCCUAAUACCGCGUAAGUCCCAUUGAUUACGGUCAAUGGGGGAAAGGUAUUUUGAUUCGUUGAAAUAUCGCUUUGGGAGGGGCUUGCGGCCUAUCAGGUAGUUGGUAAGGUAACUGCUUACCAAGCCUAAGACGGGUACCCGGUGUGAGAGCACGAACGGGCAGAGGGGGACUGAGACACGGCCCCCACUCCUA
rnacentral:rRNA from 1 species